UGUGCGAACCGGGACCAGGUGAGUUAAUUGAUAUAGUCUAUAUCACAGUUCCUGUGAAGAAAAUUAACAAUAGAAUAAAUAAAUCAUAUUGCUAGUAAUUGAUUUUUACAUUUAUUUUAUGUUACAAUAUAAGUUGCAUAAAAGCACAUUUACAUAAUAAUUGAAAUCCAUGUUCUUGAAUAUAAUUUCAUACAUUACAUUGGUCAUAACCAUUUUCAUUUAGUUCUUCAAACUAUAUAAUGAUUAUUCCGAAAAUUUUGUACAUGUGAAUAUAAUUUCAUACAUCAAAUUGGUCAUGAACAUUUUCAUUUAGUUCUUCAAAAUAUAUAAUGAUUAUUGCGAAAAUUUUCUACAUGUGAAUAUAAUUUCAUACAUCAAAUUGGACAUGAACAUUUUCAUUUAGUUCUUCAAAAUAUAUAAUGAUAAUUGCGAAUUUUUUUUACAUGUGGUGCUUUUCUUUAACAUACUGCCUUUGGGAAGAACAUGAUUAUGAAAAUGUUUAUGAAAUAUAAUACAAUUUAUUACAUACUUACUAAUAAAUACAAAGUUUUUGCAUAUGCGAUACAGCUAACUUUAGAACACCAGUAUCAGUCUCCGGGGCUGAUACGGAUUCUGCAGGGCUGAUAUCGAUCUACAGGGCUGAUACGGAUCCGUAUCGCACCCCUUGCGGAACCACUCUGGUUUUAACUCUUUCAGAAAUGGGCCGUAUUGUAGUUACUCUUUUCAGAACACCUCUGUUUUUUACCGCUUCGGCGUUUGUGUACAUUUGCAGACGGUAAAACUAAAAUGGAUAUCAAUGAAAGAACAUUUGAAUCGCUUGGAAAUAGACUUAGUGAAUUGGAAUACAUAUUUAGACUCAACGACACUGUAAGUGAAAAAACUGAUUAAGUUACGCUGGAUUUGUUAGAUUCGAAUCUAGGCCUAAGUGUACAGUCUGUAGAUGAAAACCUCGAACUUGUAACGUUACCACCUGCUGGUAUGCCCGAUGUUGAAAGGGAAACUGUGACAGACACACAAGAAGAUUCUACAUUUGAGUUUGUAAAGGGCCUUCAAAAUACCAAUACGCGUAGAAAAAUUGAAUUUGACUUGAGGAAAUUUAAUGAUUACCUAACAAAGAACGGUGAACACAGAAACCCGGAGGAAAUUCCGGUUUAUGACCUGGAUAUGCAUUUGGCAAGAUUUUUCACGAAUGCAAAGAAAGCAAGCGGCGAGGAUUAUGAACCCGACACGUUAAAGUCUAUUCAAGGGAGUGUAAACCGUUAUUUGGCUGAGAAGAAGUUGAACAUUAACAUCAUUACGGAUAAGGAGUUCAAACAUUCUCGCGAUGUACUUUUGUCAAAACGAAAGUUGCGUCGACAGCUGGGAAAGGGAAAUCGUGAAAAACGAGCAGACCCCCUAACGCAUGAAAAGAAUCUUCUUGGAACUGGAGAUCCCAAGUCACUGAUAAAUGUUUUGUAUCUUAACAACACAAUGCAUUUUGGAACGAGAAGCAGAGCUGAACAUGUCAGUCUCUGAUGGGGUGAUGUGCAGCAAAAGGUCAUCUCGACUGGAGAGGAAUAUUUAGAAUAUAGAGAAAGAUCAACAAUGACAAGAACUGGGGUCAUAAGUGAGAGUCGGAGUUUUGCACCAAACAUGUUUGAAAAUAGAGAUAAUCCGCAAUGCCCUGUUUUAGCGUAUAAAGAGUUUGCCAGGAGAAGACCAGAACAGAUGAACAACCCCGAGUCGCCAUUUUACUUAGGAGUUUCAAAGCACCCUGAAAAAGCUUGGUACGUCAACCAACCAAUGGGAAAGAAUACGAUUGGCAACAUUGUGAAGGUCACGUGUGAGGCAGGGGGAAUCCAAGGAAGAAAAGUUAACCACAGUGCAAGGAAGACAGCCAUUAGUUCCCUAGUACAUGCUGGUGUCCCCCCAACCAUAAUUCAGCAGCUGUCCGGCCAUAAGAAUGUUAACUCUAUUAAUAAUUACAGCACUGCCUCCAAUGAAAAACAGAGGCACCUGUCUUCUAUUUAAUUCUUACAAACUAUUCAUAUAGUUGCUCGGAACCACCAGUCACAGAAUUCGACAGUUCCUCUUCAUCCCUUGAUAAAUAUAGCUCAGCUCUGCCGUCCACCAGUGUGGUGCCUUCAUCAAACACUGACGACAUCAUUCAUCAAACACUUACUGAAAUAAGUUCUUAUGAAAAUCAACCCAUAAUGAAAGAGCAUGUCUUUGGCAAUUUUAGGGGGGGGGGGGGGCAAUAUUUCUGGCAAUGUUAUAUUUAACUUCUCUUCCAAACAACCAAAAUCCCUUAAGAGAUGUUGAGUCAUCUACAGUGAUUCAGAGUCAGAUUCAGAAAAAGGAACUAGAUCUGUGAUAUCUUGUAAAUAUGUUCAAAUAUUAAAAGUGAAGUUGUGUUAUAGCUUUAACUGUGAUAUUUUCUUUGUUAUAAAAUUUUGUUAUUGUCAAAAAAUAUGAAAGAUUAUUUGUGUUCAAAUUGUUUGUUAAGUUUACCAGUAAUGUGUUAAAUUUUGUAUUUAUACAUGUAUCAUAUUGUUAAAAAUGAAAUUUGAAUCAUUUAUGUUCAUAAGAAAAAGGAACUGGGUCUGUUUUAUCUUUUAAAUAUGUUCAAAUAUUAAAAGUUAAGUUGUUCUAUAGCUAUAAAUGUGAUAUUUUUUUUUGUUUUUAAAGUUGUUUAUUGUUAAACAAUUUGAAAGAUUAUCUUUGUUCAAAUGAUCUCUUAAGUUGCUGUUUGUUAUAAUUGUGUUACCUUUUGUCUUUAUACAUGUAUCAUAUUGUACAAUGCCUUUUUAAUCACUCAGAUCCAGAACAGCUGUCGAACUGCGCAGGUACAGACUUAUUUGAAGAUUUGAAAAUCUGAAAAAAUAUGAAGGGGGCUCUUAAAAAUGAAAUAUCAUUUAUGUUCAU